AUCUCUCUCUCUCUCUCUCUCUCUCUCUCUCUCUCUCUCUCUCUCUCUCUCUCUCUCUUCCUGAAGGUGAAGAGAAUAGACCAAGUCUUUCUCGUCCGAUCAACUUACUUAUCAUUGAUACAGAUGAUGCAAAGCUAUGUACAGUUCGCGCGUUUUCCAAUAAAGUUAAUCCGCUCAGUAGGAUAGAAACGGAAUAA